UAAUCCCCAGUGGAAACACUCUGGCACGAACAGAAGAACAAGAAUCAGAGUGGUGAUGAAAGGAUCCCUAGGGAGAAGAUGAAGAACCACCUGGCCCUGUCCUGGCUACUUGUGAUCUUCUCUGAACUUCAGUUUCCUCAUUUUUGACCCAAGAAGCCAAGGCUUGAGGUCUCUUUUUUUUCUAAUGUACUCUGCCCUCGCUUCUGUAGUGACACAAAGUACACUCUACAUGGGGCACCUUCUUCAAGUAAGCUCUCUGUGAGGAUGGGUAGAAUUAUUUGCUUUGUUGUGGAAAAAACUUGACAAUGGCAUUACAGUGGCUUUAAAUGGUCAAUUCAGAUAUAUAAGAACCUGAUUUAGAAGUUGUAACUUAGAAAACAUCUCCAAAAACACAUAGUUCAGUCAAAAAGUUACAAAAGUCACCCUUAGAGGCAUGAGGAUUCUAUUUCUGUUCUUUCAGGGGUCUGGAGCAGACUGGGGAAAUUGCAGUACUAUGGACAAUGUAACAAAUAUAGAUUCUAAGUAGACCCCAAUCUUCCUGGCCUCUGCUCAUUAAGUUCUCUCCAUGUAAGAUUCCUAGUGAAGCUGAAUCAGAAAAUUAUUAAACAUUCAUAGACUUUGACCAGAGAAGUGAGUGAGAUGAUGUCAGAGACCAACAUUUCUGAGUGUGACAGCUUGAAGCCCUCAAGUGUACUACAGGGACAAUUCAGGGACAGGCAGAUCUAGCUGGGAGAGUCCACUUCCCUGGUCAUUUUGGGAACAAUGCAGCAUCCUCAAGUUUCCUCUUUUAUGAUUUUCA
rnacentral:lncRNA from 1 species